rnacentral:rRNA from 1 species
CCCUUAGAUGUUCUGGGCCGCACGCGCGCUACACUGACUACUUCAACGAGUUGUUUCCUUGAUCGAAAGGUCUGGGUAAUCUUUGAAAGGUAGUCGUGAUGGGGAUAGAUUCUUGCAAUUUUUGAUCUUCAACGAGGAAUUCCUAGUAAACGCAAGUCAUCAGCUUGCAUUGAUUACGUCCCUGUCCUUUGUACACACCGCCCGUCGCACCUACCGAUUGAAUGGUCCGGUGAAUCUUUAGGACUGUGGCUGAGGCCUUGCCUUGUGCGGGUCUGGCCGUGGGAAUUUAGUUAAACCUUACCAUUUAGAGGAAGGUGAAGUCGUAACA